rnacentral:rRNA from 1 species
GAUGAACGCUGGCGGCGUGCCUAAUACAUGCAAGUCGAGCGAACAGAUAAGGAGCUUGCUCCUUUGAAGUUAGCGGCGGACGGGUGAGUAACACGUGGGUAACCUACCUAUAAGACUGGGAUAACUUCGGGAAACCGGAGCUAAUACCGGAUAACAUUUAGAACCGCAUGGUUCUAAAGUGAAAGAUGGUUUUGCUAUCACUUAUAGAUGGACCCGCGCCGUAUUAGCUAGUUGGUAAGGUAACGGCUUACCAAGGCGACGAUACGUAGCCGACCUGAGAGGGUGAUCGGCCACACUGGAACUGAGACACGGUCCAGACUCCUACGGGAGGCAGCAGUAGGGGAUCUUCCGCAAAGGGCGAAAGCCUGACGGAGCAACGCCGCGUGAGUGAUGAAGGGUUUCGGCUCGUAAAACUCUGUUAUUAGGGAAGAACAAAUGUGUAAGUAACUGUGCACAUCUUGACGGUACCUAAUCAGAAAGCCACGGCUAACUACGUG